rnacentral:rRNA from 1 species
GACGAACGCUGGCGGCGUGCUUAACACAUGCAAGUCGAACGAAGUGGCGAACGGGUGAGUAACGCGUAAUCAACCUGCCCUUCAGAGGGGGACAACAGGUGGAAACGACUGCUAAUACCGCAUACUGAAGGAGGGGAUUGCGUCUGAUUAGCUAGUUGGAGGGGUAACGGCCCACCAAGGCGAUGAUCAGUAGCCGGUCUGAGAGGAUGAACGGCCAAAAUGGGACUGGGAAACGGCCCAGACGCCUACGGGAGGCAGCAGGGGGGAAUUUUCCGCAAUGGACGAAAGUCUGACGGAGCAACGCCGCGUGAGGGAGGACGGCCUUCGGGUUGUAAAGCUCUUUUAAUCGGGACGCGGUACCGGAAUAGAAAGCCACGGCUAACUACGUGCCAGCAGCCGCGGUAAUUC